UCCAGUGCUUCCACAUUCAAUUCAAAUCUAAAUUUCUAGUUGUUUCCAUGAAAAAUCCUGAUUAUCCUGCAGUUCAAUAGUGCUAGUUCCAUUUUGUAAUUCAUAAUACCAUAAACAGACACACAAUUUUUUUUUUAAUUCAAACCGUGAAGAAAUCCCCUACGCUCCCCUACAGAUUACCCUUUCUCCCCGUAGGUAUUCCCCACUCCCUACAAGAUGUCAUAAUCCCCCACUGUAGGGGAAUCCCCCUACGAGUGGCAGCCUUGCAUACAGAUCGAAUUACUACAACACGUGAUAUAUUCUAAGCAUGUUAAUUGGUUGAAAGUUUGGAAUUUCCACUUGUUGAAAAUUAUAUUCAGCAAGCAAAACAUUCCACAAGUUCAAAUUACAGAAUCUCUGAC